GGCGUCCUCGUAACUGCAAUUCCUCGAUCUGCCCCUGAUUAGAGUGAUGCUUGGGAUGUCUACUCUUUUGUCAGGGCUCGAAAUUAACAUAUGCCCGUCAGUCUGUGACUGGUUAAAAGUCUGGCGGACUGACCGACAUUUGUUUUAGUCAGUCUGAUGGGACUGGUUAAUUUUCUAAAGCAUCAAUUUGGAAAAUAUAUUUAUGAAAUCUUAUACACACAUUUGGCAUGCUUUUGUAGAUAUCAGACGAACCCGAUUAAUAAACAUAAAUCUCACAUAAGUGUUACAAUAUUGUCAGAGACAUGUUGAGUUAAAUUUAAUUUUCAUAACAUUAAUGAAGUGUUUAAUUAUUUCUGGAAAAAUCUGUUGGACUGGUAAAUUGUCUGCGGACUGGUUGAAAUUAUACCCCAUCAGUCCGGCUGGACUGGUGACAUAACAAGUUAGCUUCAAGCCCUGCUUGUCUGAACAAUUAGAAUGAUGCUGAGGAUGUUUACUUUUUUUGUUAACAAUUAGAAUGAUGCUGGGGAUGUCUACAUUUUUUGUCUCGGGCUCGUGAUCCUGUCUACAUUAUGACUUGCUUGUUUCUGUUUGUGAACUGAGAUGUUGAUGUGUUUUAUUCGAAUCAUGUUGUCUAUAUUUUAUCUAGGAUGUUGUCCACUAAGCUAAUGGUGGGGAUUGUAGCAGCUACCCUGUACACAGACAUUGAAUGGAGCUGUCUGGUCCAUUAUCAGAAGAGUGGACAGCACUAUGCGUCCGAUCAGGGAAGUUUCUCGAGAAGCAUUACGAGGGACUUGUAUGAAUGACAUGUUCUUAACUCACCACUCCAUCAUUGCCUGGUGUUGGAGACUGAACACUUUAUUGAAAAUUGAUGGGAUGUAGCAAUCAAUGGGUGUCAUCAUUUGCCGUGAAAAGACUAAGAGAACUCCCUGGUCCUCAUGAGAUGGUGACACCCUGCAGUAGGAGCAGUUCUUACCGGUAUCUCUUAAAAGCAGAUAGAGGUUUUCUUAGCAUCUGAUCCAUUUCUGGAGACAAACUUUUGUAUGGAGCUGCACCAGUGGGCCAAUUUCAACAAAACUUGGCACAAAGCAUUCUUGGGUGAAGGGGAUUCAAUUUUGUACAAAUGAAGGACCAUGGCCCUUUCCAAGGGGAGUUAAUAGAGAAAUAGUGAAAAUGCAUUGACGAUUUAUAAAAAUCUUCUCCAGAACCAGUGGGCCAAUUUCAACAAAACUUGGCACAAAGCAUUCUUGGGUGAAGGGGAUUCAAUUUUGUACAAAAUGAAGGGCCAUGCCCCUUUCCAAGGGGAGUUAAUAGAGAAAUAGUGAAAAUACAUUGACGAUUUAUAAAAAUCUUCUUCUCCAGAACCACUCGACCAAUUUCAGCCAAUCAUGGCAUAAAGCAUCCUUGGGUAAAGGGGAUUCAGGUUUGUUUCAAGUAAAGGGCACUGUCUCCUUCAAGGGGGAGAAAAUCACAAAAAAUAGGGUGGGGUUGUUUAAAAAUCAUUUUUUGAGAACCACUGGGCCAGAAGAGCUGGAAUUUACAUGAAAGCUUCCUGACAUAGUACAGAUUUAAGUUUGUUAAGACCAUGACCCCUUUUGAGGCCAUAAUAGGGGAUCAAACUUUUACAUGCGAAUAUAUAGGUAAAAUCUUUGAAAAUCCUCUUCUCAAGAACCACUGCGCCAGAAAAGUACAAAUUUACAUGAAAGCUUCCUGACAUAGUGCAGAUUCAAGUUUGUAAAAUUCAUCAACCCUGGGGGUAGGAUAGGGGCCCAACAGGGAUCAAAGUUUUACAAGUUAUUAUAUAGGAAAAAUCUUUAAACAUUGGCCAAGGUAACUCAGGUGAGGGGUGUGGCCCAUGAGCCUCUUGUUAAUAAUGUUUUGUUGUUGACACCAGAUACACUAAUUCAACAACACAUAAUGUUUUCUAUUGAUUUUUCAUCAAUCCUUUAUCCUUAAAUUCUGGAUAGAAUCUGUCCUUAAGUAAAAAUUGUUACAGAUGCCAUAGAAUUUAUUUUAAAAACAGGAAUAAGUAAGAUUGAUAUCAUCACAAUGAACUUUUAAGACUCUUUAUUCAUAUAUGUACAUGGUUUAGGUAUUAAACAUGUUUACAAAUACUGAACUUUACAUUGGGAGGUGAGGGGUGGUGAACUAUUUUCUGAACUUGAUGGUGGGAGUUGAGGGGUGGUGAGCUAUUUUCUGAAUUUAACGUUGAGACGUGAGGGGUUGAAAAACUGCUUUCUGAACUUUAUGUAGUGAGGCGACAUGGAUGAAAACUAUUCUAUGAACUUUAUCUUGGGACGUGAGGGGAUGGAGAACUAUUUUCUGAACUUUACAUUGAGAUGUGAGGGGAUGGAGAACUAUUUUCUGAACUUUACGUUGGGAGGUGAGGGUGUGAGAAACUUUUCAUUGAUGUCGCCUAGGACUUGAUGUAUACAGAGGGUAGCAGUUACUUGAGAUGUCUGGCUGAUUGAAGAGGAUAAUUGUCCUGCGACUCUGACAUUCUGUAGGACUUGGAUAGUUCUAUUGCUGUAGAAAAUGUCAGGUUUGUUUAUGAAAUUAUUUAAAAUGUUCCGUUUUCAUGCCUCAUUCAUGCAAUGGCUGGGGCAUGUAGUGUUUACCCUUUUUAGCUCACAUCAGCUGAAAGCUAAAGGGAGCUAUUCUGAUGAAUUAUUGUCCAGCAUCAGUCUAUUCGUCUAUUCCUAAACUUUUAACAUUUUUGACUUCUUCUCAAGCACGUACCACAGGACUAAUAUCAACCAAACUUGCCUCAAAGCAUGCUUGGGUAAAGAGAAUUCACGUUUGUGCAAAAUGGAGGGACAUGCUCUCUCCAGAGGGGAGAUCAUAAAAAAUAGGGUGGAGUCAUUUAAAAAUCUUCUCAAGAACCGCUAGGUCAGAAAAGUUGAAAUUUAUAUGAAUACUUCCUGACAUAGUGUAGAUUCAAGUUUUCAAAUGAUGGUACCAAUGGGUAAGAUGGGAUCACAAUGGGUAAGAUGGGAUCACAAUAGGGGAUCAAAGUUUUACAUGGUGAAGCAUGGGAUAAAGCAUUAAAAAUUCACAGGAACAACAGGGUUAUAAAAGUAAUCAUAUUGAUAUGCAAGCAUUCCCAGGUUGUGCAGAUUCAAGUUUGUUCAAAUUAAGGUUCCUAGGGGUAAGGUGAGGCCACUAUAGGGAAUCAGAGUUUUACAUCGGAAUGUAUACGGAAUAUCUUUAAUAAUCUUACAGCAGGGCCAUGAAUACUUUGAUAUACAACCAUCCUAGAGGUAAUGUAGUUUAAAGUUGCUCCCAAUCUUGGCUCCUGGCAGCAGGAUGUCGCCACGAUACAGAAUCAAAGUUUUAAAGGGGGAUAUUUAAAAAUCGUCUUAAGAAAAACAGGGUCAUGAUUACUAUAUGUUAAUGUGCAGGCAUUUCCGGGUAGUGCAAAUUCAAAUUUGUUCAAAUUUUUGCCCCUGGGGAUAAGAUGAGACCACGAUAGGGAAUCAAAGUGUUAUGUAGGGAUUAUAGGAAAGGCAUAGAUAACGAACAGUGAUCAAUCUCAUAAUCCUAUAACCAAUACAAAAUAGAUAGUUGGGUAAACACUGACCCCUGGACACACCAGAGAUGGGAUCAGGUGUCUAGAACGAGUAAGAAUCCCCGAUCGACCGGUCACCCCGCUGUGAGCCUUAUAUCCUGAUCAGGUAAAUGUAGUUAUCCGUAGUCAAAAUUAGUGUGCCAAAAGCGGCCUAACACAUCACACAGCAUAGGAAAUAUCUUUAAAACUCUAACAGCUGGGCCAUGGAUACUCGUACUAAUAUACAAGCAUUCCAUCCCAAGGUAUUAAGAUUGAAGUAUUUUCAAAUCAUGGUCAUCGGUGGGGGCGGGGGUAUGACUUUGUACAAAAACAAAUCAUCUGGAAUUGAUAGGUUUUUUCAUGCUGACUCAGAGAUCUUGAAUCACGUGAUUUUCAAUGACAGCAAAUUUGUUGUGUAGAAGAUUUAAUAGAAAUUGUUUUGAUGAAAAACAAAUCCCUCCUUAGCUCCCCAUACUGGAGGUGCAUCAAGUGAAACCUGCUCUUAAUGUACUGCAUGGUAUGGAGGAAAAAGCAUGGGCAGGAACAAAGACAUAAUGAACUCCGAUAAGCCAUAUAGGAGGAGAAAUGUACACAAACUAUUUUACACCCUCCACCCCUCAGAUCCACUAAAAUUUUGUACAAAAACAACACAUCUCCCCCUGGAAGAAGGGAGAUAUAAAUACCCCUUAGGGGAUCCACACUUACUUUUCAAGUAUGGGAUUAUCCUCUGCUUUCUAAAAUUAAGAAUUUAUAAAGCAUUCCUCUAACGAAAGCCUUUCCAUAUCCCUAUUGACCAAACAAUGUUUUUAAACAAACGUGUGAUGAGUUCAGUUAAAAAUAGUGCUUACUUUUAAAGACCUGCUUGUGUUUAUGGUCAUACUGAUCCACACUUAAAUUUUACUUCGCAUUUGAGUUGUAUAUCAAAAUACCAGGUUUACCCACUUAUGCUUUUUUUCUCUGGACGACAUGCUACACUGUUUACUGUCAGCGGUCAUGUGUCUGAAUGUGUGGGUCAUUUAAAUAUCAAUUUGAUAAAUGACUGGUUAGUAACGGUCUAUGUGUCCCACAAGCGGGGGGAAUUUGUUCUCUAUGUGCUUUAGGAUAUCUUACUUUCCCAUCAAUAUUUGUUGACAUAGCUGUUUGUUACAGAAAAUGGAAUUCGAACCCAGAAUCCCUAGCCAGGUGUUCACAAAAUCACUAGUCAUGUGCUAUUAGAAACUCUAAUCAAGUGCUCUCAGAAUCUCUAGUCAGGUGCUCUCAGAAUCUCUAAUCAAGUGCUCUCAGAAUCUCUAGUCAGGUGCUCUCAGAAUCUCUAGUCAGGUGCUCUCAGAAUCUCUAGUCAGCUGCUCUCAGAAUCUCUAGUCAGGUGCUCUCAGAAUCUCUAGUCAGGUGUUCUCAGAAUCUCUAGUCAGGUGCGCAACCAACUGAGUAACAUGGAACCAUCCUCACACCAAGUUAAAAUGUUAUGCUUAAAGGUAUUUCAUCAGUCACAAAUACAAGAGCCUUAUAGGCAACAAUGCUCACCUGAAUCAAGGUGAACCCUCUUAUUCUGCUGUUGGGAUCUUUAAAAAGAUUUGUUUUCAAUCUUUAUUCCAAU